rnacentral:rRNA from 1 species
UACGGAGGGUGCGAGCGUUGUCCGGAUUUACUGGGCGUAAAGAGCGCGCAGGCGGUCGUUCAAGUCGCGUGUGAAAGCCCCCGGCUCAACUGGGGAGGGUCACGCGAUACUGAUCGACUCGAAGGCAGGAGAGGGUAGUGGAAUUCCCGGUGUAGUGGUGAAAUGCGUAGAUAUCGGGAGGAACACCAGUGGCGAAGGCGACUACCUGGCCUGUUCUUGACGCUGAGGCGCGAAAGCUAGGGGAGCAAACGGG